rnacentral:rRNA from 1 species
AGUGAACGCUGGCGGUAGGCCUAACACAUGCAAGUCGAACGGCAGCACAGAGGAGCUUGCUCCUUGGGUGGCGAGUGGCGGACGGGUGAGGAAUACAUCGGAAUCUACUCUGUCGUGGGGGAUAACGUAGGGAAACUUACGCUAAUACCGCAUACGACCUACGGGUGAAAGCAGGGGACCUUCGGGCCUUGCGCGAUGGAAUGAGCCGAUGUCGGAUUAGCUAGUUGGCGGGGUAAAGGCCCACCAAGGCGACGAUCCGUAGCUGGUCUGAGAGGAUGAUCAGCCACACUGGAACUGAGAAACGGUCCAGACUCCUACGGGAGGCAGCAGUUGAGAAUAUUGGACAAUGGGCGCAAGCCUGAUCCAGCCAUACCGCGUGGGUGAAGAAGGCCUUCGGGUUGUAAAGCCCUUUUGUUGGGAAAGAAAUCAAGCUGGCUAAUACCCGGUUGGGAUGACGGUACCCAAAGAAUAAGCACCGGCUAACUUCGUGCCAGCCGCCGCAGUAA